UCCUAAAGACUCUCCACCCAGCGAGAUCCUCGCCAGCUGCCUGGCUGCUGUGGGCAACCUCAGCACCAUGAAACCAGCCCUUGAGCCUGAGCUAGAGUCCCGCCUCUUGCAAGCUGCCCUUGGCUCGGUCUUCACCCUGGGCACGGAGACGGACGCCACCGACAUCCAGGCUCUACACAAAGUCAUGCCAGAGCUCCUGGAUGCUGUGCUGGGGAACCUGCUGGCAGAG